GGGGGAGGCGCGCGCGCCGGGAACCGCGUCAGCCGGCGGCGGCGCGCGCGCGCGCGCGCGCGCGGCCUUCCCUCCCCACAGCGCCCCCGGGCCCGCGGCUCCCAGAGGUGGGAGCGUGCGGGGCCUGGCGGGGGCGGAGCCUGGGGCCGGGCGCGCGCCGGGGUGCCCCUCCCCGCCUCCGCCCCCGCCCGACGCGCGGGCUCCGCCGACCUCCUGGUCAAUGGGAACGCGGGACUGGGCCGCCCGCGCCGCGGUCAGGUGGGCCCCCCAGCUCGCGCCCCGCGCCGCCUUGCUCGUCCUCCCGCUUCCGCUCCAUCUUGGCUCCAGCAGCUCGCCUUCUUGGUUACUCUUCUGCUGUCAGGGCUGUGGCAGCCGAGACCAAGUGACCUCAGCAAACGCGAGGAGACAGUGGGUCUGAGUAAACCCGCGUUCCGGUGAAUUCGCCUGGGGCAUGGGGACGGUCGCGGAUUGUUUUUUUCCUGCGACCCACCAUCAUUAAUUGAGCACCUAGUAUGUGAGAGUGGAGGCUGUGAGGAGAGGAACACAGCAGGAUGAGACAAAGCCCUGGCCUGUUCUCUAGGAGCCUCUACCUCCCUGUGCCUUCGCGGACCCUGCUCUGAGAUUCCCCGCCAUAGGUUGCUAAGAUGAUUAUGCAGAUCUGAUAUAGGGAAAAACUUCAGCAACUCACCCAGAUUCUGCUAUCCCUACAAGGCUGCAUCCGAAAGACCAAAGAGCUCUUCAUUGUCGACUUUGUGAAAAGGAGACCUGGAAAAGAGUCUUCUUGUUGGGGACCCUGGCCUGAGUUGGAGAAUCCUGGGAAGGAUCUACAAUCUACAACCUGGUGUAGAGGAGUCUAGGGUAAGAAGGAGAAUGUAGAGCUUCUGCGUAGUUCACAAUUGUUACCUGACCUCCUAAGCUUUUUAUAUGUUGAAGACUGAUGUUUUACAUCAAGACUCCAAAGGUGAAGGCAGCUGCCAUGUUGUGAGUUUAUGGAGAGACUCCCAUGGAACAGCCAUGUGAGUGAACUUGGAAGCAGAACCUCCUGCAUCACACCUUCUGAUGAGACUGCAGCCCCCACUGGCAGCUUGAGAACAUCGGCCAGAAGCACCCAGGUAAGUGGCAUCCAGAUUCCUGACUCACAGAAACUUGAGAUAACACGUUUAUUUUUUCAAACUGUUACAUUUGGGGGUAGUUUGUUACGCAGCAAUAGAUAGCUAUAGACACCAAAGUGGAUAUUUAUGCUUGAAGCUUAAGGGGAAGGUCAAGGAUGGAUGUGUUUGUUUAGGAACCAUUAGUGUUUGAUGGCAUUUAAAGCCACGGAACGGAAUAAUGUUAAGUAGAAACAGUGGUCAGAGAAGAGCAGAGGUCUGAGGAGUGAGCCUUGGGGAUUCCCACCGUUCAGUGGUCAGACAAAUGUGGGAGAUUCAGCAAAGCAAGUGGACACCAAGUGGCUAACGUGGAAGGAGGAAAAACAGAAGGGUGUGGUAUCAGGAAUCAAGAGAAGGUCAUGUAUCAAGGAAGUAGGGGAGCUCAAUGCUGCUACAGGUCAGUCAAGGUGAAGGCAGAGAAGUGCCUGUUGGCUUUGACCACGUGGGUUUGGUUAGCAACCUGGACAAGGCCGUUUGAGUGGAGCAGGAGCUCACGUGGACAGGACUGAGGAAGGUGGGGGUGUUCCGUGCUUAGCUGUGUAGCAUGAGGCAUGCCCAAACAAAUGGGGACUCCCCCUUUCGGUUCUACUAUCGCUGUGUUUGCUUCCCUCUCUGGUUCUUGGCUUUGGGAGAUGAUGACAGAAGAUGACAGGGGUUGGGCAGAAUGGAUGGUGGCUUUGAGGAACACGAGCAAGUUUGGUAGCACAGCUGGGGAGCUCCAGUGGACAUGUUCGUUCGCUAAGAUCAUUUCUUUGUUUGGCCUGAGCUAGAAAUUUGAGUGAAAAUCAGUCAUUUGACAGACCCUUACUGUGUGCAGAGCCUGCCAGGCAGGAGUGAUCUGUCAUCGAGUGAGACAUUACCCCAAAAGGAGCGGAUUCAAGGUCCAGGGGGAGGCACAUGUUUAAAUAAACAUUAUAGGACCUUGUGAUUAGUCAUGUAUGACAGAGGUGCAUCCUGUGCUGUGGGAGAGUAAGAGAAGGAGGGCCUGAGCUUGCUACAGGGGGUUGGGAGUGGGUGGGUAAAGAAUGAAGGCUUUCUGGAGGAGGUGGCCCUGGGGCAGAGGCUUAGAGAGUGCCCACUGAGUUUUUAAACUUAAAGUCUGGGAAGAUUAUUCCAGGUCCCUUCUCUCAUCUCUCCUCCAACCCACCCGCUUGCCCUCCUUUUCCAACUCAUACCCCUCCCUGCCCCUCUCUCCCUCCUUCUCCUCUUCUCCUUCUCUCCCUCCUCCUUCCCUGGCCCAUGAUGAAAGGCUUUAGUGGCCUCCCAGUUAAUGAAUUAUGCAUGCCCUUCAGCGGGUGUGCCUGGCAUCCAAUUAGGGCCUUGGCCAGGUUGAUAACAUAGAUUAAAAUGUAAUUCAUUGAGGUUGACAUUUAAGCCCCAGUGUGAGUGGCAGGAAAGAGAAGCAAUGCUUCCCCAGAACCUGGUGUUUUGGGUGGGGGAUGGGGAGGCUCUCAGCUACCAGUAUUUGCUUAACUAAUGCUGGUUUAGAGUCCAGCCAGCCUGUGGGCUGGGCCUUCUGAUGCACCUUUGUGCCGGGGAAAGGUGCAAGGCAGGCUUUGAGUCAAAAUAAGCUUUUUAAAAAAAAUUUUUAUUUAGAAAUAAUUUGAGAUUUACACAAGAGUUGUGAUGACAGUACAGAGAGUUCCCAUAUACCCUUCACUGAGUUUUCCCUCAUGUUAACAUCUUAUGUUACUAUGGUACAGUGAUCAAAACCAAGAAAUUAACAUGGGUACAAUACCCAUUAACUAAACUACUAAUGUUUCUUCAGAUUUCACCCAGUUUCCCACUAAUGUCCCUUUUCAGUUCCAGGACCCAGGAUUGCCAGGAUCCCGUAUGUCAGUGCAGGCUUUGGUGACUGCGUCUCAGCAUGGACAGCAGUCCCUCUCCACGUGCCAAGCCAGGGGUUCUCAAACUCUUGAGUCCAGGGAGUUUCUGGGGAUUUUGUGGAAAAGGCACAUUCUUCCCUAGACAUUCUGAUUCAUUAAAUCUUGCAGAGAGCCCUGACAUCUAUAUUUUUAACAAGCACCCCAGGCAAUGGAGAACUGUUGACCCUGACCAGCACUCCAAGCAAAGUUGGUUUGAUUCCUAGUUCCUUUGGCAACCCAGUUGUCAGCCUGCAGAUUUCCCUCAUCCCCCAACUGAGCCUUUGGGCCUCGCAGGGUUAUCCUCACCCAGACCCUGGGGGGAGGAUGACUAACACGCUGGGCAGGGCAAAAUCCCAGGUAAGUCUUAUGAGAGAGAAGAAGGAAGAAUAUUUAUCUGCCAGUCAUUAAUAUACAAGUUUUCUCGUUUAAUCCACACAACAACCCCUAUGAGUAGAUACUACUUUCCCCAUUUUAUAGAUGAGGAAACCAAACAAUCAUGAUAUUAAGUGUGAGGUUGCCAGAUUUAACAAAUAAAAAAAUCAGAGGUCCAGUUAAACUUGAACCUGAGAUAAGGCAAUGUUGGGGUUAUACUUGUAUUUUGAAAACAUUGUAGUUCAUCUGACAUGCAAAUUUAACUGGGCCUCCUGUAUUUUAUCUUGCGCCCUACUAAUAUCCUUUGGUUGCAGAGCUCACUAGUAGGCUUCGACCAGAUCUGGCUUCAAUGUGUGUAGCAUGGGGCACCCUGUGCUUACCUGUUUAGUGCCCGUCUCACCUGUUGGACCACAAGCAACAGGAGGUGGGGGCCAUAUGUAAUUAUCCCCUACUGUAGCUUCAAAGCUUGGCAGUGUGGCAGUAGGUGCCUAGUAAAUAUUUAUUGAAUAAAUGAAUGGCUAAAUGCAUGCACGAGUAGAAUCUCUACUUCCUUUGUACCAUCAUGGUGGUUGACAGAGAGCUAAGCUGGUGAGGUGUCAUGUGAUCAACUUGCUGAUAGAGAUGUGGGAGGAGUUAGAGGGUCCAAGGUGCCAUGCCCACAUCUGGAACCCUAGCCCUUGCACCCUGAACAAGGACAAAGUGCCAGCUCUUCUCAUCUCAUCCUCUCAGGGCCUCUGCUCUCCCAACUGGGAAAUGAGAUUGGGUCCCUUCCAGCUCUAGGUUUCUGCCAUUCUGUGAUCUCCCAUGGAGAUAAAAAAAAUAUGGCCAAAUAAGAGGAUGUGCUGCCGACUAUAUUUACUUCCCAGCUCAUUCUUAUCUCUCCUCUUCUUCCUCUCCUCCCUCCUCCUCCAUAAUGAUUUUCUCUGCACCCCGUGGUGCCUGGCUUUGGGUUCCUUUCCUCGAAUGCUCCCUUCCGCCCUGUCAGACGAAAUCAGAACCCCAGAGAGACCCGGCACAGCACGGUUCUUCACAUUCAAGGGAGACAUUGGGAGCGCAUUGUAUCUUUUAAAAUAGACCCGUUGUCGUCGGAAUGUAUUUUUAGCUGUGGGAGAGAUUGGCAUGCUCUCCGUGCCACCAUCUGCCAAAGGCAGUUGCUAGGCAACUGACACUGACGACAGCAAGGGGAUGACUUCAUGGAGGAUCUGGGGACCCUGAUGGCCCCAUCCCUCUCCACUGUCUAACUCCUGCAUGCGAACAGCCAGGCCCAAGGGAAUAAGCACUCCUUGCUUUCUGGGAGAGGCCAGGGAGCUGGUUCAAGGCCUGUGGGCAAAGUACGGGAGAUGCUAUACAGGUAACAAGAGACAACGGGCCACCACUGCCACCCUGACUGGUGGAUUUUCUAUUUAGAAAUUUAGAUGCUAUUGUGAUUUAGGGCUGGGAUCUGGACUCAGUGAAUCCAAAGGAUACAUAUCCUUCUUCUCAGCAGCCCCACAGGCACUGGUCUGAGUCACAGCAGGAGCUGUUCGGAGGUCAUCAGCCCAGAGCAGGAUUCAUGGAUGAAGUAGCCAACUGGUGGCCGACCCCUAGGUUUUUGCUCUCUGAGUGAUUUGGGGGUUUCAGCAGAGCAGUCUGGGAGGACAGAGAGAGCCCAUCAAAGGUCUGUGUCUCAGGGGCCAUCCAGGCCACUGGUCUGUACUACUGAUGGGAACAUCAAGGUCCAAGGAGGUGACGUCAGGGGGUUACUCAGCUUCCUAGAAGAUUAAAUGAUUUUUAACAGCCCAAGAACUGCAGGACUCAGUCAUGCUCCCUGACCUUCAUUCCUCCUUCUUUCUCUUCUCUAAAUGGCUAAGCCUGCAGUUUGGAAGCAGGAAGUCUGGGCUCAAGUCCCAGCUGUGCUGGCUUGUCAGCCUUGUGAUAUUUCGCAAUUCCUUCUACCUUGCAGAGCCUCAGUUUUCUCAUCUGCAAAGUGGGAAUAAAUAAGUGGCAUUAAAUAAGGUAAGGUAAUAAGGAAUAAAUAAGUGGCAUUAAAUAAGGUAAGGUAAGGGUUGCAAAACGUUUAGCCCAGGUUCUGAUAGCCUAGAAAGCAUUCCGUAAAUGAAAACUAGUAUCAUUAUUACAGACCGUAUUAGUUUCCCAGAGUGCAGGCCCUGUCCAUUAGCGGGCGCCUGAGAUAAUCAGAGGUGGCACCUUGACAGAAGAGCAAAUAUAAGAUACGCAUUUAGGAAGUCAUGCCCUCCACAGUUCUCUUUCAGCGCUGGGUUUGUAGAAAAGAUAGCAUCAGUUUGCCCACAGUGUGUUUCUUUUUUUAAUCUUUUUUUCAGUUUAUGUAUUUAUUUUGAGAGACAGAACGUGAGCCGGGGAGGGAACAGAGAGAGGGAGAGAGAAUCCCAAGCAGGCUCCACACUGACAGAUGGAGCCUGAUGCGGGGCUGGAUCUCACUAACCAUGAGAUCAUGAUCUGAGCCUAAGUCAAGAGUCGACCCUCAACUAACUCAAUCAACUGAGCCGCCCAGGCACCCCGCAACCUGUUUCUUAAAUAUAUCUAUAACACUUACUAGUUUUUCUUUCUAACAAAGAGAGAACACCUCAUCCCUCGUGGUUAAUGGUACAUAUUUACAUUGAGCUCUCUCUGGUAAAUUCAGUCCUAUUCAAUAAUUUAAACAAUCUCUUUAAGUAACAUAAGCUUUUUCGAAUAAAUGCAUGACCUCAGAUUUGCUUCCCAUCCUCCCCGCUCCUCUCCAAGAUGGCAUCUGGAUGCAUGAAUUGGGGGAAGCUUAUGUGACCACAGAAAUAGAAGCGUGGAGGGAGCCUGGCCCUACUUGCAAUAGUCCUAGCAUUAUUGGGCUGUCCACAGCAACUUCCCUGUGCACCAAAUUCCUGGGAAGAUGAUUAAUUCUAACAUGGCGAGCUUGUGGUCUAUCCUGUUGUCUUGGUCAAAGCCCAUGAAUCCUCAAUGACUCAGUGCCCCACCUCAGCUCUGACCAGCACUCAGCACUGUGCUCCACCUAAGUCAGGCUGUGGUUCACUUUGUCCUCAAGCCCAGGAAGCACCUCUGUGGGUCCCCUGAUCUCCUUCCUAUCCAGCUCCCAACCAUAUUCCAAGUACCUCUGAGUUCCCUUCAAGGCCAUGUUUGGGGCCCUUCCAAGGACUAACUGAUCCAGGAUAAGCAGGAGCAUCACCUGAGGUCUCUCUUUGCCCAACCUCUUCUACUCGGUUUUGGCUGCCACAGUCUGGCUUAAGGAUUUGGGGCACCUCUGUGGCAGUCUUCUCCUGGAGAAACAAGUCUGCCUUCAACUUCCCUGUCUAGCACAUCUCCCACUUUUGGACUUAAGUCUAAGAGGGGCUCAGGGCACCUGGUAUCGCUCCCUGUUUUCCCUAGCAUUGUUCCGUUCUCUUUCCCAAGAUCCAUGGUGCAGGAGGGUCACAGUCUCCACUCUGUCUUUUUGGGGUCCUCUACACGAUACCCUACAGCUUUACUAUAAUGGUUACCAGAGGUGGGGGGAUGAUUUUUCAGUAUAGAAAUGCAAAAUAUACUGAUUUACUCCUUUCAAAACACUAUUUCCAUUGCAUUAGCUAUAUACAAAUUUCUUGAUAAUAAAUCAUUUUUAAGUCAAUUUAAAGAAAACUUCUGAGUGAAUCGAUAGUCAAGUUAGUAGUGGGAAUGGUACCAAAUGUGAAGUUACAAGGCCAAUGGCUAAGUUGAGGGAAACACCAGGACCCACGGAAGAAGCUGUGAUGGAUACAUAAAUGGAAAAGACCUUUUGUCUAGGAGGAAGGCAAUCCUAUUCGCAGGUAAUUAGGAAGCAAGAGGGACCAGAAAAGCAAAGUUCUAAGGAGUUCAGGAGAAUCUAAGAAAGGUUCUUGAAAGAGGUGUGUGUUGAAUUGAGCUUUAAAGGGUAAGAAGCUAGAGAAGAAAGGCAUCAGCAUGUGUGUGUGUGUGUGUGUGUGUGUGUGUGUGUGUGUGUGUGUGUCUUAAUAAGCUAGGGUUAGAUUCCAGUCUAGCAAAUACCACUGAUGACCUACUCUAUGGCCCGGACCCAAGCUAAGGGCUUUGAUGCCUAAAACACUGUAAGUACCUGAACCUAGCAGCAACCAGCAUGUCUAUACAUCGGAUUUUGGUAUGCUUAAUCUUGAGCCUAAACCAGUAAACUCUGCAGGCACAUCAGAAACAUUUUAGAAAUUCCCACCCCAUCCCCUAUUCAUCUCCCAGGAUUUGUGAUCACUUCAAAGGUGGGCAGUUUGAAUAUCCAGACGUCUGGUAUAGGCAGUCUCUUUCUUCCGUACUCCUCAACAGCAUAUGUAGGGCCUGUUCACUGGAUUUCAGGGGCAAUUUGAGGGAUUUUCAAGAUUUAUUUGAACCGUAAGUGAUUUUUGCUGAAUUAAGAAUCAAACCUUCAGAAAGGACUGCGCUCAAGUCCUGUUUCUGUAAUUCCUGGUGCUGUCAUAGGUGUAUCAGAAAUGGAGCUGGAAUUGAGGUGAAAGAUAUUAUUUUCUGGAAGGCUUCUAUUCUGCAGAGGUUUACAGAGCACCUGCCUUUAGCCAAAUGCAUCAGGCAGCCCCUUGCUCUGAGCUCGAGGAAGCCUUUCCUUGCCUAUUAUGCAGAGUUCUGUAGCCAGCAGGCUCCUAAUAUGUACUUGUGACAAUCCUGUGUUUCUCAGGAAGUGACCACUCUGGGAAACCUGUGCAUUAGGUUGAUGCUUCCCAAACCCACUAUGGAUACUGUCCUGCCCCCAUAUCUCCAGGGGGAGUGGAGCAGAAGGACACAAUAUCAACAAGUACCCCAGAUAAUUCUGAUUCUAC